UAACCUGCCCAAGAGAUCGGGAUAACACCUGGAAACAGAUGCUAAUACCGGAUAACAACAGAUGAUGCCUAUCAACUGUUUAAAAGAUGGUUAUGCUAUCACUCUUGGAUGGACCUGCGGUGCAUUAGCUAGUUGGUAGGGUAACGGCCUACCAAGGCGAUGAUGCAUAGCCGAGUUGAGAGACUGAUCGGCCACAUUGGGACUGAGACACGGCCCAAACUCCUACGGGAGGCAGCAGCG
rnacentral:rRNA from 1 species